rnacentral:rRNA from 1 species
CCAAUAGCGUAUAUUAAAGUUGUUGCAGUUAAAAAGCUCGUAGUUGAACUUCGGGGUUUACCCAUUGGUCAGGCUUAAUUGUCUGUACUGGUGAGAUGAAUCUCUACCUUCUGAGGAACUUUCAUGCCAUUUAUUUGGUGUGAUGGGAAAUCAGGACUGUUACUUUGAAAAAAUUAGAGUGUUUAAAGCAGGCUAACGUCUGAAUACAUUAGCAUGGAAUAAUGAAAUAGGACGGAUUGAUUCUAUUUCGUUGGUUUCUAGGAUCACCGUAAUGAUUAAUAGGGUUAGUUGGGGGCAUUAGUAUUCAAUUGUCAGAGGUGAAAUUCUUGGAUUUAUUGAAGACUAACUACUGCGAAAGCAUUUGCCAAGGAUGUUUUCAUUAAUCAAGAACGAAAGUUAGGGGAUCGAAGACGAUCAGAUACCGUCGUAGUCUUAACCAUAAACUAUGCCGACUAGGGAUCGGACGAAGUUAAUUUUAUAAUGACGCGUUCGGCACCUUACG